rnacentral:snoRNA from 1 species
GCUGUUCAGUGAUGAAACUGUGGAAUGAGCGCUGGGCACAGCGCCUGAGUCAAUCUGAGGAAACAUUCCAUGCUGCCUUCCUUCUGAGAACAGC